UGGUCUUGGGGACAGGAGAGUCAGCCAGGCACGGUCACACCUGCUGAGGCUUUUCCACUUCAGCAUCUGUGGGGAGGACAUUUGUUCCCUCCGGCAGAAGACUAUUGUCGGCCUUCCUGUGUCCAGGAAGAGUGAGAUGAAGUGACAGGCGGAAGAAGAGAGCGUCCGUGGCUAGCGAAGGACGAGGCAUGUGAUUGUGUCUGCGUUGCUGACCUGGCAGCUGUCCCUGCAGCCCCGUAUUGCAGGGGGGAAGCGGGGCAGCCUGGUGAGGGGGAGCAGGGAAACUGGGUGCGAAGAGGUGGGGCUGGAGGUCUGAACACCUAAGCAGCACGGCCACUAUGUGCCCUCUGAUUCUCAAUGGGAUCACCCUUGCAGGGGGGACAGUGGCUGUGCAGGGAGGGAGGAAAAGGGGUAUUAUUGGCUUCCUCCCGGGUCUCCCUUCCUGGCUAUUUUCCCUUCCUCUCUUUGCCUCCUCUGUAUUUGCAUCCUAGACCACAGCCCCCAAACGGCCUGCUCUGGAAUUCAUCGCCUGCCUAUGGACAGCCAUCCCAGGACACGCCUGAUUUAUCAUUCUUCUGCCCCUCAGCCAAGACCACCCCAGCCCCUCCCCAGGAGGCCCCUGAGGCUUCCAGCUGUCCUUAACCUUCUCCAGCCCUCUCUACCCCUGCCCCCCACCACCACCCAGCACACACACACAUUCCCAGGGAAUUAAUAAAAAUGUAUUAACUUCAGUCUCUAGCCUGUGGACCUUCCCUUGUUUGUGGAUGAGGUCUUUGAAAGCACUGUGGAGGCCUGCCCUGAACUAAGCUGUGUUCAGCCUGACCAUUCAGUCACACCCGAAGGCCACAACUCAGUAGACAACCGGAAAACAAGGGCAAGUGAUGAUCAUUAGUGUUUAAUAUUAAAUGCCUGGUGAGUGCCGAGUUGGAACAGAAGAGUGAACGGCUGAGGAAUACUGACAGAGCUCUCAGGGAAGAAAAUAUGCUUCUCAAGGAUUGGCUGAAGACGUAUAGCAUAGGACAACAAAACAGUAAAUAGCAUGCUAGCAAAGCCACUGGAUAAAUUAAAGCUGUGUACUCGCCGGGCCAGCUGUGAUGCUGUAAUUUGCCAAGGCUUUGAAGAUCUUCUACCAAAGCAUGAACAAAGUGAAGGGGCAGUUCCUGAAGAUGAGACACAUGCACCUGAGGAUGACAACCAGUUGCAUCUUUUAAUGAAAGACAGGCACAAAUGCUCAAGGACUUUGAGGAACUACUAGACUCCGGUCCCUGGAAGCUGCAAAAUGAUGUUGCUCUUAUAAUUCAAAAGAAGAGAGAAAAUUCAGUGCCCAGCAAAUGUUCAGGCUCUACUUUCCUAGAACAUCACUGAAGGUUAUUAAGCAAAUUAUUUUGUAUAGUUCAAAAACAUUUUCAAGACCCCUCACCUUCUCUUUGUAUACCUGUCACACUGAAUUGGGAACUUCAAAGUUCUGUAAAGACAAUGAAUUUUAAGACUUA